UUUUUUUUUUUUUUUUUUUUUUUUUUGGAGAGGACGUCUAGCAAGGCGUGGGCACGCCCUGGAAGACAGAGUCUUCUGCUCACCAGCUUUUUGCCGAUUUCUCCCCUCUUUUUUUUUUCUUCUUUUCUCUAUUUUUUUCUUGGCUUUUCUUUCGAUAUCAGAUGUACAGAAACAGCACCAUACAACAUCUUUUUGACAACACUUGCGCCCAUAGAUUUAUUUGCCUUGCACAAGUAAUGAAUUUUAGACAUCCCUUAAUGACACAAGGUUGAACAAGAAAGUCUAAAAAGGUCAUGGGUUAUCAAACACGGCUAACAAGCAAAAGUAAAGGACAAAAGCUCAAGUUGGUUCACUAUUGGGAAAUAAGAUGAAGGCAUGGUUUGUAGAAAGUUAAAGAAGGUCAAAUCCUAAAUGCCCUUAUCAUUUCAAAUGCAUCCAAUUCAACAAAAUGUGGUCUUGACAUGUAUAAAAUAGCAAGUUCUAGAAUGUCAAUACCAUGUGCGAUACCCACUCAAUCAAACAAAAAUAGAGCAAACAAGAAUAAUAUGCUCAAGUAAGGCUCAAAAGCUCCCAAAAGUUUCAAGAAUGGGUCAAGUCCAGCAUAUUUAACAUUCAACACUAUUGUCAAGGAGAAACAAAAUGCAUAACUAGUAUAUAUAACCACAUACCCGUGCACCUUGAUUGUGCAAUCCAUUAUAGCAACAUGCUCUAGCAGUUAACAAAUGUAGGACUAGAGAAGUCAACUAACUACACUUUUUUUUCUUUUCUUUUUUCUUUCUUUUUUUUUUCAUUUUCCUCCUCUUUUUUUUUGUGUUUCUCUUUUUUUUUUUUUU
rnacentral:lncRNA from 1 species